rnacentral:rRNA from 1 species
ACUGGGCGUAAAGGGCACGCAGGCGGUUAUUUAAGUGAGGUGUGAAAGCCCCGGGCUUAACCUGGGAAUUGCAUUUCAGACUGGGUAACUAGAGUACUUUAGGGAGGGGUAGAAUUCCACGUGUAGCGGUGAAAUGCGUAGAGAUGUGGAGGAAUACCGAAGGCGAAGGCAGCCCCUUGGGAAUGUACUGACGCUCAUGUGCGAAAGCGUGGGUAGCAAACAGGAUUAGAUACCCUGGUAGUCCACGCCCUAAACGAUGUCAAUUAGCUGUUGGGCAACUUGAUUGCUUAGUAGCGUAGCUAACGCGUGAAAUUGACCGCCUGGGGAGUACGGUCGCAAGAUUAAAACUCAAAGGAAUUGACGGGGACCCGCACAAGCGGUGGAUGAUGUGGAUUAAUUCGAUGCAACGCGAAGAACCUUACCUGGUCUUGACAUGUACGGAAUCCUCCAGAGACGGAGGAGUGCCUUCGGGAACCGUAACACAGGUGCUGCAUGGCUGUCGUCAGCUCGUGUCGUGAG